rnacentral:rRNA from 1 species
AUUGAACGCUGGCGGCAUGCCUUACACAUGCAAAUCGAACGGUAACGGGCCUUCGGGUGCCGACGAGUGGCGAACGGGUGAGUAAUACAUCGGAACGUGCCCGAUCGUGGGGGAUAACGAGGCGAAAGCUUUGCUAAUACCGCAUACGAUCUACGGAUGAAAGCAGGGGACCGCAAGGCCUUGCGCGGACGGAGCGGCCGAUGGGAGAUUAGGUAGUUGGUGGGAUAAAAGCUUACCAAGCCGACGAUCUGUAGCUGGUCUGAGAGGAUGAUCAGCCACACUGGGACUGAGACACGGCCCAGACUCCUACGGGAGGCAGCAGUGGGGAAUUUUGGACAAUGGGCGCAAGCCUGAUCCAGCCAUGCCGCGUGCAGGAUGAAGGCCUUCGGGUUGUAAACUGAUUUUGUACGGAACGAAAAGCCUUCUUUUAAUACAGGAGGGUCAUGACGGUACCGUAAGAAUAAGCACCGGCUAACUACGUG